UGAGUAACCUGCCCUUAACUCUGGGAUAAGCCUGGGAAACUGGGUCUAAUACCGGAUAUGACUCCUCAUCGCAUGGUGGGGGGUGGAAAGCUUUAUUGUGGUUUUGGAUGGACUUGCGGCCUAUCAGCUUGUUGGUGAGGUAAUGGCUCACCAAGGCGACGACGGGUAGCCGGCUGAGAGGGUGACCGGCCACACUGGGACUGAGACACGGCCCAGACUCCGUACGGGGAGCAG
rnacentral:rRNA from 1 species